rnacentral:misc_RNA from 1 species
UGCUCUGUCGCCCUCUCAGCCUUCAUCUCUCUCCCUCUCGCUGAGCUAUCCCUCUUUGGCCGCACUUCCUCCCUGACGGUCGUAGAGACGCUUCCGCUAGAGACGCGACCGCUACAUCCAACGCCACGAGUAGGAGGAGGGGGAGGAUGCUACGCUGGGACUGGCCGCAGACGUGGAGCCUGGAGAACAGAGAGGCGAUCCGGGUUGCCCUCGAGACGUCCAUUCGGGGUGCGAUGGCGAAGGGGGAGAGCAAAGUGGUCCGCGGCCUCGUUCAUGUGGAGCUGCCGGAGAUUGGGAGCACACCACCGCAGGUGAUGCUGACGGGCAUCCGCGAGCUGUCGCUGGAGCACACGGCGCUCAUGGUAAAGGUGCGCUACGACGGCGAGUUCACCCUCAAGCUGCGCGGGCUGCAGGUGAACGUUGACACCGUCGGCGCUAACUCGGCGCUGAGCAGCGACCUCAGUCUCGCAAUGCCCUUCUACUGUCCUCUGGAGAUGACUCUGAGCGACAUCCACGUGGACGGGGUCGCCUCCAUAGAGGUGUUCCAGGAGAUCGAGGAUUUGGCAAACAGCGAGGGCGCGGCACUGCUGAGUCCGGACUCCACGAUGGGACUUACCGGCACGCCGCGCACCGACGAGGUGGAGUCGCUCUCAUCGCUCUGCCGAGUGCCGCGCAGUGCACGUUCGUAUAUCCUCUCAGCGGCACAGUCGAGCACGGGCCGCAGCGCACGCUCUGGCGGGUACCCAAGCUCUGGCUACGGCGUGCUGCUCGGUGCUGGCGGACGGCGAGCGAUGCGUCCGCCAGAGCUGGCUCAGGGUGGCCACGCACCGGCUGCUCCUCCCCCCCUCACGUCCCCACAUGGCAACUCUGUUGCGACGACAGAUGCCUCGGUGACGGGCAGCAGCGGCACUCAUACCAGCACAGGCCUCUCGAUGGCGCCGAGCCAGCCGCGGCAUUCUAUCAUCGACUUGGCGAGCAAGCGCGCCAUCGUGAAGAAGCGCCGCAUCAAGGUACAGCUCUUCGGUGACCCCAUCAAGCGCUACAAGGUGGAGUCGAACCUUGUGGCGGUGCCGGGGGCCGGGAAGAAGGUGGAGGAGCACAUUCAGGACAUGCUCGAACCUCUCAUCGAGCGCCUCAUGGCAGAAGGCGUCACGAUCGAGCUCACGCCGUGAACGCGUAGGCGUGCGUGCCGUGAGUCGGUGUGCCGGUGCACGUGCCAAGGCCGUGCUUCAGCGCCGUGGGCCAUGCGGCACGAUUGGCCACCCUCUUCUCGUUCCUCUCUCUGCUCUCUGCUCUUUGCUCUUACUGGAACCCAGCUGGAAAUGCUGUGUUGCGUGGGCGGCAGGACAAGGUACCGUAGUGCGACGCAGCCCCCCUUCCCAGGCACCUCUCCCCUCCUCCUUGGCCCUUGCUGUCGGUCUGUCUGCGUUGUUGUGUCGUUCCCUCCUCAAACCCCGGAGAUUCUCUCUGUUCCUCUUCCACUGUAAGCGUGUCUCUCUGUCUCUCCGGCCUGACGCCCUCCCACGCCGGAGGCGCGGGUGGCAGAG